rnacentral:rRNA from 1 species
UACGGAGGGUGCAAGCGUUAAUCGGAAUUACUGGGCGUAAAGCGCGCGUAGGCGGCUUGGUAAGUUGGAUGUGAAAGCCCCGGGCUCAACCUUGGACGUGCUUCAGAUACUGGUUUGCUAGAGUACGAUAGAGGAGUGUGGAAUUUCCUGUGUAGCGGUGAAAUGCGUAGAUAUAGGAAGGAACAUCAGUGGCGAAGGCGACACUCUGGAUUGAUACUGACACUGAGGUGCGAAAGCGUGGGUAGCAAACAGG